UACGUAGGGGGCUAGCGUUGUCCGGAAUCAUUGGGCGUAAAGAGCGUGUAGGCGGCCCGGUAAGUCCGCUGUGAAAGUCGGGGGCUCAACCCUCGAAUGCCGGUGGAUACUGUCGGGCUAGAGUGCGGAAGAGGCGAGUGGAAUUCCUGGUGUAGCGGUGAAAUGCGCAGAUAUCAGGAGGAACACCAAUUGCGAAGGCAGCUCGCUGGGACGUAACUGACGCUGAGACGCGAAAGCGAGGGGAGCAAACAGG
rnacentral:rRNA from 1 species